UUCACCAGCCUGGGUUUCGCAUUGUGAAGUUGUUUAAUUCAAUACUUCUGAUAGCUAAUGGGUCUGUUUUACAUCAUGGGACGGUGGAUCAGCUUGGAGUUCAUUUGAGGACAAUGGAGAUGCAGCUUCCUCUUCAUGUCAAUGUUGUUGAAUUCNNNNNNNNNNNNNACAACUGCAGCUGCCAGAAAGCACUCCAGUAUCGACCCAACUCCAGACCACGAAAGCAGAGGACGGUGAGAGUAAAAGUGGCAAGUUCACUCUUCAACAGCUCUUUCAGCAAGCCAAAGUUGUCGACGAGGAAAUUAUCAAAGUUGGUAUUGAUUUUCCCUACGGUUUUGCAAAUUCAAGUUUUCAGGAGAUUGUAAUCCUCACCCACAGGUUUUCCAAGAACAUUUUUCGAACCAAGGAGCU
rnacentral:misc_RNA from 1 species